CGCUAAAGCUAUACUGAAGUGAUGAAGUCGGCCAUGUCGAAGGUAUUUAGGAUAAAUAUUGUGACUAUUUUGGCCACAUUUGUUUUUGUUCUGUUUACAAUGAUAGGAGCAACUCAGUCCUGGGCUCUUCCUGCAGAUCAUAAUUGGAAAAUUGAGGGAAGGAUGAUAAGGUUUUUCAAGCCUAGCUCUACUACCCGUCAAACAACUACAACACGACGUCGAGAGAGGUUAAUCUGAAGAGGUUGAAGACAGUGGUCGCUGAAGCCAGGUGGCUUCAAAGCAUGCUGUCAGGUGAUGUCUUUCUUCUAACCAACGGUCGGUUCCAACAUGACGAA